AUAGUGGAAGCCCAUCUCUAGCAGUGCUAAGACGGAUUCGUUAACUCUCUGUAGUCCUCAAGCGAAAUUGGUGGCAUCGAUAGUUUCAAACGGAGUUGGCACGUUCGUUAAUGUUGACUUCGUAUGAUGUGUUGAACCACUGUGUCCAUGAUGCCGGAGCAGUUUAGGAUAUGUUGAUGACAUGAAACUUAGUAUUGCGCUGCGCAGCAGGGCCGUCUCAUGUGACUGGCCGUCAUCAUGGUUCCGAAUGAAGCCGUUGCCACUGACGGUGAUUUUAUGGACCCGAUUCAUGGCCGCAAGAAGUGAACCAGUGGCACCUCAGAAGAAGCGAUUUUUUUCCUAAUCUCGUGAAUCCCCAUUUAUGUGGAAUAAAAACGUUUAGCGUGCA